ACCAUUUCUUUCUUGUCUGUGGAGAAGUUGUACCACAGGCAGAAGUUUUGACCAUCUCUUUUGGAAGUUGAGGUAUUUGAUUGAAUAGCCAAAGAUCAAUUGGCUAUCUCUUUUGGAAGUUGAGGUAUUUGAUUGAAUAGCCAAUUGGCUAUUUCUUUUGGAAGUUGAGGUAUUUGAUUGAAUAGCCAAAGAUCAAGAAGAAGAGUAGGACAAAACCCAAAUGAGCGAGAGCCACACAACCCAGGAAGCUGUGCUGGAAACCCAAGUUGUCUUUCAAGAAUUGCUUCACCGUAAGGCUACCUGCUCCAGGAAUGGCAACCAAGUCGUCCUUCGUCCCCAGUUGCGAUGACACAAUGCCAUAAAUCGUCCACGAUACGGGAUCACCCCAGUAGUACCACCUCCACCAGACAGGAAUCAGC
rnacentral:lncRNA from 1 species